rnacentral:rRNA from 1 species
GACGAACGCUGGCGGCGUGCUUAACACAUGCAAGUCGAACGGAAAGGCCCUGCUUUUGUGGGGUGCUCGAGUGGCGAACGGGUGAGUAACACGUGAGUAACCUGCCCUUGACUUUGGGAUAACUUCAGGAAACUGGGGCUAAUACCGGAUAGGAGCUCCUGCUGCAUGGUGGGGGUUGGAAAGUUUCGGCGGUUGGGGAUGGACUCGCGGCUUAUCAGCUUGUUGGCGGGGUAGUGGCUUACCAAGGCUUUGACGGGUAGCCGGCCUGAGAGGGUGACCGGCCACAUUGGGACUGAGAUACGGCCCAGACUCCUACGGGAGGCAGCAGUGGGGAAUAUUGCACAAUGGGCGGAAGCCUGAUGCAGCCACGCCGCGUGCGGGAUGACGGCCUUCGGGUUGUAAACCGCUUUCGCCUGUGACGAAGCGUGAGUGACGGUAAUGGGUAAAGAAGCACCGGCUAACUACGUG